rnacentral:rRNA from 1 species
AUUGAACGCUGGCGGCAGGCCUAACACAUGCAAGUCGAGCGGAUGAGUGGAGCUUGCUCCAUGAUUCAGCGGCGGACGGGUGAGUAAUGCCUAGGAAUCUGCCUGGUAGUGGGGGACAACGUUUCGAAAGGAACGCUAAUACCGCAUACGUCCUACGGGAGAAAGCAGGGGACCUUCGGGCCUUGCGCUAUCAGAUGAGCCUAGGUCGGAUUAGCUAGUAGGUGAGGUAAUGGCUCACCUAGGCGACGAUCCGUAACUGGUCUGAGAGGAUGAUCAGUCACACUGGAACUGAGACACGGUCCAGACUCCUACGGGAGGCAGCAGUGGGGAAUAUUGGACAAUGGGCGCAAGCCUGAUCCAGCAAUGCCGCGUGCAGGAUGAAGGCCUUCGGGUU